UACGUAGGGCGCAAGCGUUGUCCGGAAUUAUUGGGCGUAAAGAGCUCGUAGGCGGCUUGUCACGUCGGGUGUGAAAGCCCGGGGCUUAACCCCGGGUCGGCAUUCGAUACGGGCAGGCUAGAGUGUGGUAGGGGAGAUCGGAAUUCCUGGUGUAGCGGUGAAAUGCGCAGAUAUCAGGAGGAACACCGGUGGCGAAGGCGGAUCUCUGGGCCAGUACUGACGCCGAGGAGCGAAAGCGUGGGGAGCGAACAGG
rnacentral:rRNA from 1 species